GUACACGCUGUGACUAGCAUAUCAAUAAGCGGAGGAAAAGAAACUAACAAGGAUUCCCCUAGUAACGGCAGAGUGAAGCGGGAAGAGCUCAAAUUUGAAAUCUUAAAGGGUUUCCCUUUACGAAUUGUAGUUUAAAGAAGUGUUUUCUGUUGAGGUUUUGGUAAAAGUUCUUUGGAAUAGGACAUCAUAGAGGGUGAGAAUCCCGUAUUUGACCUUUACUUUCAACUUUGUGAUACACUUUCCAAAGAGUCGGAUUGUUUGGGAAUGCAGUCCAAAAUGGGUGGUAAAUUUCAUCUAAAGCUAAAUAUUGGCGAGAGACCGAUAGCGAACAAGUACCGUGAGGGAAAGAUGAAAAGAACUUUGAAAAGAGAGUUAAACAGUACGUGAAAUUGUCAAAAGGGAAGCGUUUGACACCAGUGUUGCUUUUCUGAAAAUCAAUUAAAGAACUGUUUAUGCUAAGCUGUUUAGACUUUAUCAGCUAUCUGUUUAGUUUUAGGCUUUUCUUUAAUGCACUUUUCAGUUAACAAGUCAACAUCAAUUUCUUUUGCUGUAAAAAAGCUUGAGGAAGGUGGCUUGAGAUUCGUCUUAAGUGUUUAUAGCCUCUUGCCUAUGCAGUCGGAGAGAUUGAGGUCUGCAGGCGUAGAUCCUUCGGGGCUAAAUGCAUUUGUGCUAAGUUAUAGCAUUUUAUAGACAACUUGUUGACUAUGAUUUGUCUUGUAGCUUACUCGCUUAUGUUAUUUUACCUACGCUUAGGAUGUUGAGUCGUAGAGCACGCAG
rnacentral:rRNA from 1 species